rnacentral:rRNA from 1 species
AGUGAACGCUGGCGGUAGGCCUAACACAUGCAAGUCGAACGGCAGCACAGUAAGAGCUUGCUCUUACGGGUGGCGAGUGGCGGACGGGUGAGGAAUACAUCGGGAUCUACUUUUUCGUGGGGGAUAACGUAGGGAAACUUACGCUAAUACCGCAUACGACCUACGGGUGAAAGCAGGGGAUCUUCGGACCUUGCGCGAUUGAAUGAGCCGAUGUCGGAUUAGCUAGUUGGCGGGGUAAAGGCCCACCAAGGCGACGAUCCGUAGCUGGUCUGAGAGGAUGAUCAGCCACCCUGGAACUGAGCCACGGUCCAUGCUCCUACGGGAGGCAGCAGUGGGGAAUAUUAGACAGUGGGCGCAAGCCUGAUCCAGCCAUACCGCGUGGGUGAAGAAGGCCUUCGGGUUGUAAAGCCCUUUUGUUGGGAAAGAAAAGCAGCAGGUUAAUACCCCGCUGUUCUGACGGUACCCAAAGAAUAAGCACCGGCUAACUUCGUG